GAAACGCGAUAGUUAAUGUGAAUUGCAGAAUUCAGUGAAUCAUCGAGUCUUUGAACGCAUAUUGCGCCCAUUGGUAUUCCAUUGGGCAUGUCUGUUUGAGCGUCAUUUCAAACCCUCGACUUUGGUCGGUAUUGAGCUGGCUUUACAGGUGCGAACCCAGGCCGGUUUUAAAGUGGUAGGCUUUGCUGUCUGCUUCUCCAAACCAAAAACAUAGUAAACUGUACUUGUUGAUGGUGGGGUGGCUCCAGCCUUGAAAAUUACACUUUGUGGUUUGACCUCAGAUCAGACAAGGAUACCCGCUGAACUUAA
rnacentral:misc_RNA from 1 species